GACGAACGCUGGCGGCGUGGAUUAGGCAUGCAAGUCGAACGGUAUCAUCCUUUCGGGGGUGAGAGAGUGGCGAACUGGUGAGUAACACGUAGGUUAUCUACCCUCAAGACGGGGACAACCCAGGGAAACUUGGGCUAAUACCGGAUGUGAGCAACUUUUAGUUGUUUGAAAGGUGGCGUAAGCUGUCGCUUGGGGAUGAGCCUGCGUCCUAUUAGUUAGUUGGUGAGGUAACGGCUCACCUAGGCAAUGAUAGGUAGGCGGCCUUAACGGGUGGUCGCCCACACUGGGGAUUGAGAUACGGCCCAGACUCCUACGGGAGGCAGCAGUCGAGAAUAGUCUACAAUGGUCGGAAGACUGAUAGUGCGACGCCGCGUGAACGAUGAAUCCCUUCGGGGUGUAAAGUUCUUUUAUAUGUGAGCAGUGCUUCUUAUAUUAACAGUAUGGGGAGAGAGAUAUUAGCAUAUGAAUAAGCAACGGCUAACUCCGUGCCAGCAGCCGCGGUAAUACG
rnacentral:rRNA from 1 species